rnacentral:rRNA from 1 species
UGGGGAAUAUUGGGCAAUGGGCGCAAGCCUGACCCAGCGACGCCGCGUGGGUGAUGAAGGCCUUCGGGUCGUAAAGCCCUGUCGGGUGGAAAGAAUGGGCGAGGGGCGAAUAGGCCCUUGCCGUGACGGUACCACCGAAGGAAGCACCGGCCAAUUCCGUGCCAGCAGCCGCGGUAAGACGGAAGGUGCAAGCGUUGCUCGGAAUCACUGGGCGUAAAGGGUGCGUAGGCGGCUUGGUGGGUCUGGUGUGAAAGCCCCGGGCUCAGCCCGGGAAGGGCACUAGAAACUGCCGAGCUGGAGUGCCGGAGGGGAGAGUGGAAUUCCUGGUGUAGCGGUGAAAUGCGUAGAUAUCAGGAGGAAUACCGGUGGCGAAAGCGACUCUCUGGACGGCAACUGACGCUGAGGCACGAAAGCGUGGGGAGCAAACAG